CGUUAAUAGCGUUUAGGUGUGACGUUACUCGCAGAAGAAGGACCGGCUAACUUCGUGCCAGCAGCCGCGGUAAUACGAGGGGUCCAAGCGUUAAUCGGAAUUACUGGGCGUAAAGCGUACGCAGGCGGUUUGUUAAGCGAGAUGUGAAAGCCCCGGGCUCAACCUGGGAAUUGCAUUUCGAACUGGCAAACUAGAGUCUUGUAGAGGGGGGUAGAAUUUCAGGUGUAGCGGUGAAAUGCGUAGAGAUCUGAAGGAAUACCGGUGGCGAAGGCGGCCCCCUGGACAAAGACUGACGCUCAGGUACGAAAGCGUGGGGAGCAAACAGGAUUAGAUACCCUGGUAGUCCACGCCGUAAACGAUGUCUACUCGGAAUUUGGUGUCUUGAACACUGGGUUCCCAAGCUAACGCAUUAAGUAGACCGCCUGGGGAGUACGGCCGCAAGGUUAAAACUCAAAUGAAUUGACGGGGGCCCGCACAAGCGGUGGAGCAUGUGGUUUAAUUCGAUGCAACGCGAAGAACCUUACCUACUCUUGACAUCCAGAGAAUUCGCUAGAGAUAGCUUAGUGCCUUCGGGAGCUCUGA
rnacentral:rRNA from 1 species